GUUCGCCUAGUAUAUUAGUACAAGUGACUUCCAAUCACUAAGUUUUAGACAUCGACUAAAGGCGAAUA
rnacentral:tRNA from 1 species